UUAAUUUUUAUAAACUAGUGAUGUGUAGUCACUGCGUAGUAUAACACGCAGCAGUUUAGGGGAUAAAAACAGAGCAGCCAGUCAUCGAGGGUUUGGAAAAAGGGGAUUGAAAUUAGGGUUUCUUUUCUUUUAUUCUCUCUGAUUGCUCCAAGGUGAGAUUGUGAUUGUGUGUUGUUGGUAUGUAUAUAUACAUAUAUGAACCUGCUUUGUGUGUUUUCGGUGGGUGUGUUGUGAUGGCGAUGCUGGUUAUUAAGGGCAGCGGUGACUGCCACCGCCUGUAAUUGUAGUUGGAAGUCGGAGAGAGGCGGCGUGCUUCGUAGUGGCUGUGACGGCGACGACGCAUCGUCGGAAGGAGAUGACGAGAGGAAGGCCAGAAGUUGCAGCGGCGUAGCCGCGCUGUGACCUAUGGGCUGCGAUUUCAGUUGGGCUCGCCGGAAUUAGUCCGGGGUUAGAGCAGUUAUGAGGCUGCAAGGGCUGGCAGUAGUGGUGAGUCUCGAUGUUGGAGGUCACCGCCGUUGGUGGGGCUGAUGAAGGUGUUGAGGUUGAAUUUGUGAAAGAAGGUGGGGGCAGUAGAUGAUGUUGGACGAUAGAACAUCAAGAGACUGAUGGGGUUGUAUUUUCGAUUGGGUUGAAAUAUGAUAUAUUGUUCUGUUUUAUUGUUCUGGUGUGGUGAGUCGCGACGGUGUCAUAGCUACAGUUGCAAGUCUGAAAAUGGGAUGGCUGAUUGGCAUUGAGUGUGUUUGGGGGUGGUGAAUGGGGCCAUUCAGUGGCGGUGGUGGCGAGUUGGUUGUCCUGGAACUCGAUGGUAGCUGAAGCCGUGACUCACCGGAAUUGUAUCAGUCGGUGGUGGAGUUGUUGUUAGCGGCAGAUGAGCAACGCGAAAAGGGAAGAUGAAGCUAGAGGUAGAAAGGUUGUAUUGAAGUAGGCGUGUGGAUUGUUUGCUGGAUGGCCAGGCGGUUGGGUGAGCCAUGUUUAUGGUCAUGGGUGUGGUUGUGGGAUGAUAACAGUAGCCGGGGUGAAGGCAUUGAAGCGACAGCUGCAUAUGGUUGGCCGGAGGUCCGGCCAGUAUAGUCUUUUUGUUGCUGCAGACUAGAGUCUAUUGCGAUGAUGUAUGCUUGUAUGAGUUGGAAAUUGGUUAAGCUGAAGUAUUGUGUGAGACAAGGGAGGCUAUAAGAAGGAUACAGUAGUGAUUCUUGGAUUAGACAGGGUUGAUAAUAUUUAAGCAAAAAGAAACAGCAGGGGUACUGUUGAUGUUUAGUUCAACCAUUCGG
rnacentral:lncRNA from 1 species